ensembl:snRNA U6 U6 spliceosomal RNA
GUGCUUGCUUUAACAGCACAUAUACUAAAAUUGGAAUGAUACAGAGAUUAGCAUGGUGCUAGAAUAAUGAAAACAAUUUACAUACACAAAACUAUU